rnacentral:rRNA from 1 species
AUGGCGUGUUGGAAUAAAGUCUCUCCGGUCUCUCCCUACCUCGACGACGUCCGAUCCGGCGCCGGCGAAGGGCAUGUGAGAGUUUGUGUCCCCAGAUCGGUUGGUUCCCUUCAGAUCUUGGCAGUUGGUGUGUCUUUCAAGGAGUACUUUGGGCUGGCGUUUGGUGUGGCGACCACGACAUCUUCUGUGUUGUUCUGUGGCUUAACCCGGUUUCUCCAACCCUCUGAUCUGGUGGUGGUGGAUUGCAAGUUUGUUCUGCUUGGGGUGAUGCUCCAGCCGAUGCUGCUUCAACGACUUUUAGAUCUCGUCUCAAGGGGCGAGUGGCUAUUGCGGUCUUCAAAGCCUUGUGUGGCGAGGGCAUUUGCAGGUUUUGCUUUUCUUUGCUGUUGGUUCAGUGCAAUUUUCAAUCACCGGCGGGCAGCGUACAAUCAGAGGAAGAAGAAGACUAGUAUGCUUUUUAUUGUAAUUUUAUUUUUUACUGGUCGUUCUACGUCCAGUUGUCUAUCCUUUGUACUGGCCUUUGUUUUCCUCGAUGAUAAUCAGAUUUAA